AGACUAACAUUGGGAGGCACGUGAAUCGGUUGCGGAAGCAUUCCUCCAAUGGCGUUCGCAGAUUGGUGAAGCUACUUGUGAGGAAGUGGAAGGAAAUUGUGGAUGAGUGGGUGAGGUUGAAUCAAUCGGGUGGAACAGCUUCUCUCAUGGCUGAUGGGGACUCUCCACAGCUGAAAAUCACCCAAAACGGGCAUCAUCAGAUGUAGGCGCCCCUUGAGUUGCUUUUUCCUCAAAAGAACGAGCAGCAAAUUGCUUUUUCCUCAGAUGAUGGUGAUAGAAAUGAUAAUGAUAGAGAUGACGGGGCUGAUAUUAAAAGAGAAGCUGGUAGUCAAGAGGGAACCCAGCAAGUUGCUGGAACAAAUGAAAAUGCAGCAGAUGGAUCUAACCCCCAGCCGAAGAAACUUGUUCCAAUUUUUCUUGCGUACUACUUGAAUAGCAUGAU